AUUGAACGCUGGCGGCAGGCCUAACACAUGCAAGUCGAACGGUAACAGGAAGCAGCUUGCUGCUUCACUGACGAGUGGCGGACGGGUGAGUAAUGUCUGGGAAACUGCCUGAUGGAGGGGGAUAACUACUGGAAACGGUAGCUAAUACCGCAUAACGUCGCAAGACCAAAGAGGGGGACCUUAGGGCCUCUUGCCAUCGGAUGUGCCCAGAUGGGAUUAGCUAGUAGGUGGGGUAACGGCUCACCUAGGCGACGAUCCCUAGCUGGUCUGAGAGGAUGACCAGCCACACUGGAACUGAGACACGGUCCAGACUCCUACGGAAGGCAGCAGUGGGGAAUAUUGCACAAUGGGCGCAAGCCUGAUGCAGCCAUGCCGCGUGUAUGAAGAAGGCCUUCGGGUUGUAAAGUACUUUCAGCGGGGAGGAAGGGAGUAAAGUUAAUACCUUUGCUCAUUGACGUUACCCGCAGAAGAAGCACCGGCUAACUCCGUG
rnacentral:rRNA from 1 species